rnacentral:rRNA from 1 species
CAGCAGCCGCGGUAAUACGGAGGGCGCGAGCGUUACCCGGAUUUACUGGGCGUAAAGGGCGCGUAGGCGGCCUGGGGCGUCCCAUGUGAAAGGCCACGGCUCAACCGUGGAGGAGCGUGGGAUACGCUCCGGCUAGAGGGUGGGAGAGGGUGGUGGAAUUCCCGGAGUAGCGGUGAAAUGCGCAGAUACCGGGAGGAACGCCGAUGGCGAAGGCAGCCACCUGGUCCACUUCUGACGCUGAGGCGCGAAAGCGUGGGGAGCAAACCGGAUUAGAUACCCGCGUAGUCCCUGUCUCUUAUAA